GACGAACGCUGGCGGCGUGCUUAACACAUGCAAGUCGAACGAUGAAACCUAGCUUGCUAGGUCGAUUAGUGGCGAACGGGUGAGUAACACGUGACUAACCUGCCCCUUUCUCUGGGAUAACGCUCCGAAAGGAGUGCUAAUACCGGAUACUCACAUCGAGGCACAUGCCUUGGUGUGGAAAGUUUUUCGGAAAGGGAUGGAGUCGCGGCCUAUCAGCUUGUUGGUGAGGUAACGGCUCACCAAGGCGACGACGGGUAGCCGGCCUGAGAGGGCGACCGGCCACACUGGGACUGAGACACGGCCCAGACUCCUACGGGAGGCAGCAGUGGGGAAUAUUGCACAAUGGGUGCAAGCCUGAUGCAGCGACGCCGCGUGAGGGAUGAAGGUCUUCGGAUUGUAAACCUCUUUCAGUAGGGACGAAGCGAAAGUGACGGUACCUAAAGAAGAAGCACCGGCUAACUACGUGCCAGCCGCCGCUGUAA
rnacentral:rRNA from 1 species